rnacentral:rRNA from 1 species
AUGAACGCUGGCGGCGUGCCUAAUACAUGCAAGUCGAGCGAACAGACGAGGAGCUUGCUCCUCUGACGUUAGCGGCGGACGGGUGAGUAACACGUGGAUAACCUACCUAUAAGACUGGGAUAACUUCGGGAAACCGGAGCUAAUACCGGAUAAUAUAUUGAACCGCAUGGUUCAAUAGUGAAAGACGGUUUUGCUGUCACUUAUAGAUGGAACCGCGCCGCAUUAGCUAGUUGGUAAGGUAACGGCUUACCAAGGCAACGAUGCGUAGCCGACCUGAGAGGGUGAUCGGCCACACUGGAACUGAGACACGGUCCAGACUCCUACGGGAGGCAGCAGUAGGGAAUCUUCCGCAAUGGGCGAAAGCCUGACGGAGCAACGCCGCGUGAGUGAUGAAGGUCUUCGGAUCGUAAAACUCUGUUAUUAGGGAAGAACAAAUGUGUAAGUAACUAUGCACGUCUUGACGGUACCUAAUCAGAAAGCCACGGCUAACUACGUG